rnacentral:rRNA from 1 species
GAUGAACGCUGGCGGCGUGCCUAAUACAUGCAAGUCGAGCGAACAGACGAGGAGCUUGCUCCUCUGACGUUAGCGGCGGACGGGUGAGUAACACGUGGAUCACCUACCUAUAAGACUGGGAUAACUUCGGGAAACCGGAGCUAAUCCCGGAUAACAUGCUGCACCGCAUGGUUCAAUAGUGAAAGACGGUCUUGCUGUCUCUUAUCGAUGGUUCCGCGCCGCAGUAGAUAGUUGGUAAGGUAACGGCUUACCAAGGCAAGGAUGCGUAGCCGACCUGAGAGGGGGGUCGGCCACACUAGAACUGAGACGCGGUCCAGACUCCUACGGGAGGCAGCAGUAGGGAAUCUGCCGCAAUGGGCGAAAGCCUGACAGAGCAACGGCGCGUGAGUGAAAAAGGUCUUCGGAUCGUAAAACUCUGUUAUUAGGGAAGAACAAAUGUGUAAGUAACUAUGCACGUCUUGACGGUACCUAAUCAGAAAGCCACGGCUAACUACGUG